CAGUCGCCGCGGUAACACGUAGGGUGCGAGCGUUAAUCGGAAUUACUGGGCGUAAAGCGUGCGCAGGCGGUUAUAUAAGACAGAUGUGAAAUCCCCGGGCUCAACCUGGGACCUGCAUUUGUGACUGUAUAGCUAGAGUACGGUAGAGGGGGAUGGAAUUCCGCGUGUAGCAGUGAAAUGCGUAGAUAUGCGGAGGAACACCGAUGGCGAAGGCAAUCCCCUGGACCUGUACUGACGCUCAUGCACGAAAGCGUGGGGAGCAAACAGGAUUAGAGACCCCCGUAGUCCCUGUCUCUUAUAC
rnacentral:rRNA from 1 species